rnacentral:misc_RNA from 1 species
GAAAUGCGAUACUUGGUGUGAAUUGCAGAAUCCCGCGAACCAUCGAGUCUUUGAACGCAAGUUGCGCCCGAAGCCAUUAGGUUGAGGGCACGCCUGCCUGGGCGUCUCACGUUGCGUCGGGCGAAUUGCAGAAGGGCUGCGGGCGGAUGUUGGCCCCCCGCUCGCGCCCGCGCGCGGUCGGCCCAAAAGCGAGUCCCCCGCGACCGACGACGCGUCGCGACGAGUGGUGGUCGACAAACCGUUGCGUCGCCUCGCGCGCGUCCGGUCCGUCGCGGGGGGCCUGUCGUGACCCUAUCGCGCCGCCGCCAAGGCGCUCCGAUCGCGACCCCAGGUCAGGCGGGAUUACCCGCUGAGUUUAA